rnacentral:rRNA from 1 species
CCUACGGGUGGCAGCAGUGAGGAAUAUUGGUCAAUGGACGAGAGUCUGAACCAGCCAAGUAGCGUGAAGGAUGACUGCCCUAUGGGUUGUAAACUUCUUUUAUAUGGGAAUAAAAUGUUCCACGUGUGGGCUUUUGUAUGUACCAUAUGAAUAAGGAUCGGCUAACUCCGUGCCAGCAGCUGCGGUAAUACGGAGGAUCCGAGCGUUAUCCGGAUUUAUUGGGUUUAAAGGGAGCGUAGGGGGGUUUUUAAGUCAGUUGUGAAAGUUUGGGGCUCAACCGUAAAAUUGCAGUUGAAACUGGCAGUCUUGAGUACAGGAGAGGUGUGCGGAAUGCGUGGUGUAGCGGUGAAAUGCAUAGAUAUCACGAAGAACUCCGAUUGCGAAGGCAGCUCACUGGACUGCAACUGACACUGAGGCACGAAAGUGUGGGUAUCAAACAGGAUUAGAUACCCGAGUAGUC